UCAAAAUCUCUUUUAUAUAUAACCCCUCAACACUAUUCACAUUAGCAGUUUAACAGUUCGGACACGUCGGAGCCCUUCUGAAUGUUCGUUUGUGCUCAAAUUUUACAGUCAAGCUUGGUUUUUCUUACUAAGAAAGAAUGUAUCUUAAGUUUUCAGUUUCGACCGCGUUUGGUCACCGAAAGCUCUACCGAACUGUAAUCUCUAGCAGAUAGCAGUCGGAUUUUAUUUCCCACCUUCCAGGUGUCAGAAUGUCAUGAAACUUUAAAUCUAGCCUCAUAAAAAUAUUUCUGACAUAUUCUCCAGUUUUCGUAAUUUUCUGGCACUGUGCAUUUUCUGCUAAAAUAUCAGCGCCGUCUCUCACAGAAAAUUCUAAAUCUUCAGUUUUCGUUCCGAUUUCAGCACAAGUCAUUUUUGACUUAUAUUUUACUUCUCUAAAUCCAAUAAAAAUAGUAUCUCGCACUAUUUUUAUUUAUUUUUAUUUUUAUAUCGAAAUCCGGUAUGUUAUAUUGACUGUACAUACACUUGGUCCCUAGUCAUUCAGGUCCUUCUGGUGCAUGUUGGCUGCAGUAGGUUCAUUGUAAGAAUAGGGUGCGCACUUAGAUGGAAUCUAUCUCCCUUGGUAGAUAGGAGUGUUAGUCCUAUGUGAUUUAUGAGACCGAGUUUAGAAGACCUUGGACAGAGCAGAGUUAAUAGCGGAAAAAGGUUUCCGAUAUUAGAAACUGGAGUCGAAUAAAAUUUAACAUAUGACAUACGAUGGGGUUUGACGAGUUAUUUCAUAACCUCCGUCUAGUCGGGACUCAUGAUAGAAGGAUUGUAUCACACGGUAACUGCACCAAGAGGUUCAGUAUUCUAUUCUACUGGAAUGCCACUACAUGCUGCUAGGCGUCAUUGGUGGAUUGUGAGACUCAUGAGAAUUAUCUAGAUGAUCGAUAAUUCUUAUUAGGCUGAGUUGGAAUUGUUCCGAUCUACUGAAAGGAGUUUCAGUUAUAUUGUUGAUAGUGAUUAAAAUAUAUCUCACUAUCAGAUAGAAUAGAACCUACGGAAUCACACAUAUAAGAGAUUGUGAUUGAUCGGAAAGCUAGAUCGUGAUUAUUGAAUCACUGGAGGACCUAAUUGUCAAUAUGUUGAUAAUUGGACUGAUUUGUAAUUAUUACAAAUUAGUGGUGAACGGACAGGGUUUCCCCUGUACUGCAGACAUAGUCUCCCCUGUACGUUCAAGGCAUAGCAAUCAAUACAAUGUGCGAAGUUCCAACCAGGAACACAUUUCAAUCAAGAUUGCAUAAUGAAAGGUAUCAAACAACAUAACACAUCCUAUGUUAUUACAUGCAUUCACAUUCAUACAUUUUUACAUCACAAUUCUCAUUUGAUUCUUACAUUAGCUUUCACUUAACUUCCAAAUACAAUCCGAUUUAACAUGAUUAUUACAACUUGAUUCUUUUCAUUCUUUACAUCCCUAAGUAACCG
rnacentral:lncRNA from 1 species